UACGGAGGGGGUUAGCGUUGUUCGGAAUUACUGGGCGUAAAGCGCGCGUAGGCGGAUUAGUCAGUCAGAGGUGAAAUCCCAGGGCUCAACCCUGGAACUGCCUUUGAUACUGCUAGUCUUGAGUUCGAGAGAGGUGAGUGGAAUUCCGAGUGUAGAGGUGAAAUUCGUAGAUAUUCGGAGGAACACCAGUGGCGAAGGCGGCUCACUGGCUCGAUACUGACGCUGAGGUGCGAAAGCGUGGGGAGCAAAACAGGAUUAAUACCCGCGUAGUCC
rnacentral:rRNA from 1 species